rnacentral:misc_RNA from 1 species
UCUCCGUUGGUGAACCAGCGGAGGGAUCAUUACAGAGUUGCAAAACUCCCAAACCCUUGUAAACAUACCACAUCGUCGUUGCUUCGGCGGGCAGCCCCUGGGAGGGGCCUCGCCUCCUCGUGAGGUGCCCGCCGGAGGACCAACAUAACUCUUGUAUUAAUUUGUCUCUCUGAGAAAACUUUUAAAUAAGUAAAAACUUUCAACAACGGAUCUCUUGGUUCUGGCAUCGAUGAAGAACGCAGC